GAUUAACGCUAGCGGCAGGCCUAAUACAUGCAAGUCGAACGGCAGCGGGUGUAGCAAUACAUGCCGGCGAGUGGCGCACGGGUGCGUAACGCGUAUGCAAUCUACCUAUAACUGGGGAAUAGCCUUCCGAAAGGAAGAUUAAUACCGCAUAACAUCACGGAACGGCAUCGUUUUGUGAUCAAAACUCAGGUGGUUAUAGAUGAGCAUGCGUGACAUUAGCUAGUUGGUGAGGUAACGGCUCACCAAGGCGACGAUGUCUAGGGGGUCUGAGAGGAUGAUCUCCCACACUGGUACUGAGACACGGACCAGACUCCUACGGGAGGCAGCAGUAAGGAAUAUUGGACAAUGGCCGCAAGGCUGAUCCAGCCAUGCCGCGUGAAGGAUGAAGGUGCUAUGCAUUGUAAACUUCUUUUGUCCCGGAAUAAACCCCUGAUUUCUAUCGGGGCUGAAUGUACGGGAAGAAUAAGGGACGGCUAACUU
rnacentral:rRNA from 1 species